GCGGUCCCUGUCGUGAGUGUAGCGUGAGGCGUAGCGUGAGGCGUAGCUCUCGUCUAACUGCCUUUCAGGACAGGCGGUUUUCUUCACCAGCCGCAUAAAUUAUCUUUGUAAUUCUCGUGCAUCAACUGGGUGUUUUGUCAUGUAGCUUGAAAGGCACUUGGAUGCUCUGUAGAGUUUUAAUAAAUGAAAUAAAAGCAGAUAUUCAGAAGAGCAAUCUUUGUCUUUCUUAUUUGCACAUUUCAAUUUGGGAGCCUUUCCCUAAACUAACAUCUGCCUCAAAUGCCCUGCGUACUUCAGCAAGACAGGGAAACAAAACCCAGACACACAGAGCGUUCUGAAAGGUUUAGAAAAAUGUGCACAGACCUGCCGUCACGUCUUACAUGUUGUCGCUAUGAAAUACUUCAUUACAAAAGGAAUUACAGUUCAGCUGACACUAGCAUUUUUCCUCCAUAAGAUAGUAAAUGGUUUCAAUCCUUUAGAAACUGCACACAUGAUGGAGUCAUCCUUUUUUCUUUAGUUUUUAAAUCAGUUUGAAAUGUAAACUUUUACCAUUUAGAAUAUUUUUUAAUCUAAAAGAAUUUUACUACAAUGUUUUUUCUCAUUUCCAGUUUAUUAAAACUUUAGCAGGCCAAAUUAUCCAGGUUUCAGAUUACCAAAAGAUCAACUCAGUGAAGUCCACAUUAAAAAGAAAGCCAAAAACCUAAAAACUGAAAAGAGGAAGCUAACAUAAAGGAGACUCAUCAGCAAGUUUCUAAACUUGAAAAUCGAGAAGACUGGGAACUAGUUCACACAAGUCCCUCAUCCACGUUGGCCUUCGUUUGUCCCAGGGCUUGGCGCGUGACCGCAUCUUCAGGUUUUACCACGUGCACGGUCACCUUCUUGAUCGUUUAACUUUUGGUUUCCUUUUCCGCUGAGGCGCUGGCCUCCUCGGCGCCUUGUUGUUCGACGUGGAGAACUUGGCUUGUUUUCCUGACGACUCUUUCUUCUGAGCGUGGACCUGAUCGCGGCUCCCUGCCGUCACGUGAGCUGUGAGCGUGCGCGCUUCCCUCACCCCAGAGCCCGCUCCUUCCUCGGUUCCCCCGCCGCCUCUCCCAGAGCUCGCGGCCCCCUCUCCUCUCCGCCCGCCCGGCUGCUCCGCGCGGGCCGCACCCUGUCGCCGCUGCCGGUAUUCCCGCUCGUUCCCGCCUGGGCCGCGCGUCCGUCUGCUCGCGUUCAUCAUGAGCAUGCUCAUCGCGGUUCGGUUCUAAAUUGCGGCCUUCGCGUCUGCUCCUUUCCUGGUCGUUUUCUCUGGAAUCAGACGUUUCUCUGACGUUCUCGUGCUCCCUUCCUUUGCCCCUUGAUUUCAUGUUCUUUUCCUCACGUUGGUUAUGCUCGCAGCGCCUUCCUCACUCUGAUUUCUCUUCGCUCUUACUCAUCCUUUUAGAUCCGGCCCUUUUCUCUUUUCUUCACCUUGUUUUUGUUACAUUUGUCACUUUUUCCUGCAUUUCUUCUGCUGUCUCUCUCUUUGCCGUUAGACUUACGUUCUUUAACUUUCUUUUCCUUUUUGCUUUUCCUGUUUGGACUCUCACGCACGUGACCGUGAUCGGUUGCCGUUUUCUAUUUUUACCCUCGCGGGGCUUCUUUGAUUUUCUUUCAGCUCACCCUCGUCUGCUUUGAUCCGCCUCUCACCACUCGAUUCCCUCACUCGUUCGACACAGUGAGUCAGCAACUGCUCUCUACGCCCACUGUAUCAUGAACCAGUCCUACCAAGAUGACACGACCAGGCCGCGUUUCAGAGGGUUCAUGGUUGAUGAUCCAGGACUGAAGAGUCUGUAGACUUGUGAGAAAGGAGAGAAGCCAGGGAAAGUGAAGAUGCCAGGUACCUGAAAAAGGACCUGUGCCCAGCUUGCCCCUGGAUUCAUCUGAAGAGGGUGUGGUAAGACUUAGGCAAUAAUAAAACACUCCUCUCUGCAUGAUUUUGGAGAUUCCAGAGCAGAAGGAAUGUCACUUUCCCUACUUUGAGAAGGCGCUCAGACCCCCGCGUUCUCCCUCACUGCCCCGUUGUCCAUGGCACGGGAGGGACAGAGCGGCAGUGGCGGGCAGUGUGGGAUGCUGGAGUUGAGACGGGGGCAGAGAUUAGCUCCCAGGGGCCCUUUGUGCCCCAGGAUGGCACACGGCACAGCAGGAGCAUCUCCCGGGAGCCAGGGGCUAGGAGGGGCUGCGGGAGGGCCUCUGGGGCCUGGCUGCUUGUCUCACUCUCCCAGAAGUCUCAGGAGCUGGUGUCCACCACAGGGACACCGGGACGCACAUGUCACCAGCCAGGCGCACAGACAGGGUGCCAGCUGGCCACCGGGCAGCCCCGGGGCCUGCGUGCAGUCCCGUGUAAGCGGACGGGCCUUGAGUUGACUGGGAUUGUUUUCCCAGCAUCCAGUGGAAGAGGCGCUUGAAAGAAAUUGAAACUUAACAUUCCUUGCAUCCUGGAGCAAAUGGGCUGGGAUUUAUACCCACUAUAUUAUUCACCGUGAUAGAUUUUGAAAGAAGUUCGCUUUCUAAUAUUAUUAGUAACAAAUAAUGUCUUUUUCAGAUUCAAUAUGACCUGUCAAAACGUUACAAAACACUAAUCUCAGCUGGUGUAAAAUUCAGAUCUGAGUCUCAGGCAGGUGCUCAAAUGUUAAACAUACUUUCUUUUUUAAAAAACCUCCCACCGUAACUACACCAGUACCAGCUAAGGUUACCGAAUAUGUACUGUGUGCAUAGAUGACAUACUUAGUUUAAUCCUUUCAAUAAUCCUGUGAGGUAAAGUCUCUUGUUAUGUACAUGUUUUAUAUGUGAGGAAGCUAAAUAAAUUGCAGGAGGUCACAAAGCUUGAAUUUCUGUGUAAUUCAAGAACCCUUUGCACAACUGUUCUGCCAUUCUGCCUAGAAAUGAAUGAAAUACUGACUAGUCUUUAAAGUCACACAAAAUCAUCAAAAUCCAUGUUUUUCCUAAUCUUUGAAGUUUUUCUGUUGGAGAAUUUAAGGCAAAUUCAAGAGGGCUCUUAGCCAAGACACCCCACAUAGUCUUAGGAUCCAGUUUAACUCCAGUUUCCAGAGAAGCAAGACGGCUGUGACCUUCUCUUUAGAAAGCCUGGUCACUGUCCUGGCCGUUCCCCUUUGCGGCUCACCUGGCACGAUCAGUAGGUACUUCUUCUCCCCAUUUGGCCCUGACCCCGCAGAUCAGUGUCCUAUUUUUCGGUUUUCACGCUUGAGCUUCUGUGCUUUAGUCUGCUUCCUGUCCUGCCCCCCGACCCCUGAAGUCUACUUGUUUAUCCUUCCUAGGUCAGUGACUUCAUUUUGAAACCCAGUAUUUUGCAGAGAAAAAAAAAAAAAAAGGCGGCCCUGUUUUCAACAAAAUCAUUUUCGUAAAGGCAGCUUGGUUUUGUCUGCCAGAGCGAUGUCAUAAAGUUCUCUCUGCUGUCAGUGAAAACUAGCCUAAAUAAGAAAUAGACGAAACCCAGACUUUGUGACCUUUUCCAGGAUAACAGGGCUUCAGAAACAUCCACUUGAAAUGCGACUCUCAUCUUGCCAUUUUCCCCCAUAAUAAAUAGUUAUGGUGAUUUUUUUUCCCCACACCUCUCAUCUAGAAAUAUAUUGUUUUGAAGAAAAGUUUGAAAGUUAAACACAAAUCUCACUGAGAGUAUUUGAUGUCUGUCUUAUAAAACUGUGCCUGAAUAGAGUUGUUCCUGAAGUUCUGCUUUUGACCUUAAAUUAAAGUUUAAAGAAAGGAAAGGGAUUAUUACUUAUUAUUAGAUUUUUAUGUAAAAAAUUAUGAACUUUCAACGUAUAAAUUUCAGGUUUCCCCAGCAGGCGUUAUUACUUCCUCUGAUUGUCUUUUCAUUUUCCUGUGCUGUCCAUCAACCCACUGCUUCCCAUCCUUCUGGGAUUUUCCUCAAUUUCUGUUUGCAUUACAAUGUCAUGUUUCUCUUAUUUUAAGUGAUUUUAAUUUCAUUUUUAAUAUAUAGUGAGAACACACUGUAAUAAGUUCAUUUCACUACUUUUCACUCUCAAAAUAACUUUGUCUUUUGAAAUUUUUGCCUCCUAAAAUAAGUCAAGCAUUUUAGACUCUUCAUAGAAAGAAAUUUCUCUUUUCUCUUUGAAUUUUUUGUAUUUAUAGAAAAGAGUUCCAUAUGUCCAAACACUUUUCUAAAGUCAUGGUGUUUAGUAAAAUAGAAUCUUCAGUGUAAUAAACAUUUCUCCAGUUGGAUAUUUCUAUUUACAAAAUUAAGUGAAUUAAUUUAUGGCUUUAUGUUUUUAUGCUGGAAGAAAUAUUAUUUUCUUUCUUUUCUUUCUUCACAGUAGGAAGAGCUCUGUUGGGUGUUUUCUGACUAAGAAAGUAGCAUGUGCUUAUUUACAGCACCUAGACUAUGAAAAUAACUCAGCAAUAGACGCAUAGCAACACAGGCCUACAGAACAUAGUACUAGGUGAGAGAUGUUAAGAAAUAGAAUGUGAAGCUAUCUAAGUAAGUUUAAAACACCUGUGCAAAAAACAAAAAUAAAUUUUGUAGAAAUAUGUGCAAACAUUUA